GUUGAACGCUGGCGGCAGGCUUAACACAUGCAAGUCGAGCGGGGUGAUGGUGCUUGCACUAUCACUUAGCGGCGGACGGGUGAGUAAUGCUUAGGAAUCUGCCUAUUAGUGGGGGACAACAUCUCGAAAGGGAUGCUAAUACCGCAUACGUCCUACGGGAGAAAGCAGGGGAUCACUUGUGACCUUGCGCUAAUAGAUGAGUCUAAGUCGGAUUAGCUAGUUGGUGGGGUAAAGGCCUACCAAGGCGACGAUCUGUAGCGGGUCUGAGAGGAUGAUCCGCCACACUGGGACUGAGACACGGCCCAGACUCCUACGGGAGGCAGCAGUGGGGAAAAUUGGACAAUGGGGGGAACCCUGAUCCAGCCAUGCCGCGUGUGUGAAGAGGGCCUUAUGGUUGUAAAGCACUUUAAGCGAGGAGGAGGCUCUUUUGGUUAAUACCCAAGAUGAGUGGACGUUACUCGCAGAAUAAGCACCGGCUAACUCUGUGCCAGCCGCCGCCGUAA
rnacentral:rRNA from 1 species